ensembl:lncRNA LINC01205 long intergenic non-protein coding RNA 1205
CUUAUCCUUCAGCUGGAGCUCUGCGAGCCAGAGGCAGCGCUGGCGUUGGAGAGUGAUGGCGGCAUGGCGGUGCGGCGGCGGCUGCGAACACCUUGAGGACGGGUCGCAUUAUGUUGCCCAGGCUGGACUUGAACUUCUGGGCUCGAGCAAUUCUCCCACCUCAGCCUACCAAGCAGCUGGGACUACAGGUCUGCACCACUGCACCCCACCCAUUCAAGUCCACAUCCCCAGAAACGAGGAUAAUGCUUGGCACAAGACGGAAUCUCGCUCUGUCGCCAGCCUGGAAUACAGUGGUGUGAUCUCGGCUCACUGCAACCUCUGCCUCCUAGGUUCAAGUGAUUCUCCUGCCUCAGCCUCCUGAGUAGCUGGGACUACAGGCGUGCCCCACCACGCCCAGCUAAUUUUUGCACUUUUAGUAGAGACAGAGUUUCACCAUAUUGGCCAGGUGACCUUGACUACUUUAAAAGGGCUCUCAGUUUAUUAUUUUUGUUUUAGAGAUGAGGUCCUGCUUUGUCACCCAGGCUGGAGUGCAGUGGUUUGAUUAUAGAUCACUGCAGCCUUGAACAUCGGGGCUCAAAUGGUCUUCUUGUCUCAGCCUCUUGGUAGCUGGGGCUCCUCAGUUUAAAUUAGGUAUGUAGGAGUGGGGAAAAGAUGAAUGGUAGAGCAGGGGGAGAGAAAAAAGGAAUAACAUUUCUUCUUUAGUUCUAUGUAACUCCAGUUGAAUAUAACCUCCUUGCAGGAGGAAUUAUCCUGUUCCCUUCCACAAUCCUCCACUAGCCUGUGUCCCCAGCACCUGAGCUAGCGUCUAGUGAGCAUUAUAAAACAAAACCAAACACCACAUAAAAUCUUUCUGGAUUUUCCUUUUAGAUUGUUUCUAAUUUUGUGAGGAAUUUAAUGAUUUUUGAAAUCGUUCUUCUACAGUCAUUUUUGUUUUGUUGCCUUUUUUCCUUCAACCGAUUAAAUGCUUCAGGUGUCCAAA